AGAGUUUGAUCAUGGCUCAGGAUGAACGCUAGCGGCAGGCCUAAUACAUGCAAGUCGAGGGGUAUAGUAGCAAUACUAGAGACCGGCGCACGGGUGCGUAACGCGUAUGCAACCUACCUUAAUCAGGGGGAUAGCCCGGAGAAAUCCGGAUUAACACCGCAUAAAAUCACAACCUGGCAUCAGGAAAUGAUCAAAUAUUUAUAGGAUUAAGAUGGGCAUGCGUGACAUUAGUUAGUUGGUGAGGUAACGGCUCACCAAGACGACGAUGUCUAGGGGAUCUGAGAGGAUGACCCCCCACACUGGUACUGAGACACGGACCAGACUCCUACGGGAGGCAGCAGUAAGGAAUAUUGGUCAAUGGAGGCAACUCUGAACCAGCCAUGCCGCGUGCAGGAAGACGGCCCUACGGGUUGUAAACUGCUUUUGUCGGGGAAUAAACCUUUUUACGUGUAAGAAGUUGAAUGUACUCGAAGAAUAAGGAUCGGCUAACUCCGUGCCAGCAGCCGCGGUAAUACGGAGGAUCCAAGCGUUAUCCGGAUUUAUUGGGUUUAAAGGGUGCGUAGGCGGCUUAUUAAGUCAGGGGUGAAAGACGGUGGCUCAACCAUCGCAGUGCCUUUGAUACUGAUGAGCUUGAAUGAACUUGAGGUAGGCGGAAUGUGACAAGUAGCGGUGAAAUGCAUAGAUAUGUCACAGAACACCAAUUGCGAAGGCAGCUUACUAAAGUUUAAUUGACGCUGAGGCACGAAAGCGUGGGGAUCAAACAGGAUUAGAUACCCCGGUAGUCC
rnacentral:rRNA from 1 species